CCUACGGGAGGCAGCAGUGAGGAAUAUUGGUCAAUGGGCGCAAGCCUGAACCAGCCAAGUAGCGUGCAGGACGACUGCCCUAUGGGUUGUAAACUGCUUUUAUGCGGGGAUAAAGUUUGCCACGCGUGGCAAUUUGCAGGUACCGCAUGAAUAAGGACCGGCUAAUUCCGUGCCAGCAGCCGCGGUAAU
rnacentral:rRNA from 1 species